AGAAUGAACGUUGGCGGCGUGGAUUAGGCAUGCAAGUCGUGGGAAUCCAGCAAUGGGGAACCGGCGUAAGGGGCAGUAAUGCAUGGGUAUUUACCCUCGGGUCUGGCAUAGCCCUUCGAGAGAAGGGGUAAUUCCAGAUGAUGUCGUAAGACCAAAGGUCCGCCGCCCGGGGAGAAGCCCAUGUGAUAUUAGGUAGUUGGCGGGGUAAUGGCCCACCAAGCCUGAGAUGUCUAGCGGGUGUGAGAGCACGACCCGCGCCACUGGCACUGAGAACUGGCCAGACACCUACGGGUGGCUGCAGUCGAGGAUCUUCGGCAAUGAGCGAAAGCUUGACCGAGCGACGCCGCGUGGGCGAUGAAGGCCUUCGGGUUGUAAAGCCUGUCGGAGGGGAGAAAAGAGCAAUCUUGAUCUAUCCCGUGGAGGAAGCGACGGCUAAGUUCGUGCCAGCAGCCGC
rnacentral:rRNA from 1 species